UGAAAUGCAUAGUACUGUCCA
rnacentral:piRNA from 1 species